UUAGCACAUUAUCACGUGAUUUCCGGUGGACGUUAAAACUAACAAAAGUAAAAAGCGUCAAGGUUUUAAAUUUUGCAGAAAUUUUUAGACGUCAAGUUCUAGAUUUCAGAUCUACAACUAUUUUUAAAGAGAUUAUAGUUUCUAGCGAUCUAACUAAUGGCCACUAAAGAUGCAACAAAAGAAUCCAAGACAUCUAACAAGACUGUUAAGACAUCUACCAAACCUGUUCUUCGAAAUCUUCUUCUCACUAAAACAAAAAAAGACUUUGCUUUAGCUCUCAGUGUUGCAUUAACCAUUGCUACCUCCUACUAUAUUUUUGUGAAGCGCCAGCGAAGAAAGAUUUUUGAAGAGUUUCACAGAACAUAUGAUGCUAAUGCCGCUUAUGAAAGAAUGAAAGCCAAAGGUGUGUUCAGAGGUCUAGAAGCACGGAAAAGAAGUGAAAGCAAUGCCUAAUUAACAAGGUGAUGUUACACCUUUUCCUGUUUAUCUCUGUAUCCUUCAUAAAUUUGAAAGGAUUUAAAGUUUUGUAUUAGUAAUGAUUUUACAUUUGAUAUUAAACUGGUGAAAAUGGA
rnacentral:sRNA from 1 species